rnacentral:misc_RNA from 1 species
AAUUUCGACUUCUUGUUACUAUCGGCUGGCGGAAACUUGUCUUUUGCGAGCAAAAACUCUGAAUUCCUAUAGAACUGAUUUGCUUUUGGUGUUCUUUUCUCUUUCUCCAGGGUCUCACCUGGACCCUGGCUAUUAUCCAGCACUGAUACGCUAAGCUGAUUCAAAGGCCUAGACUGCCUAGGUGUAGGAGUAGGAAUAAAAGCAGUAAUCUCACGUGGAACACCCACCGAGCCCACAUUUGAAUUAACCCUCCUCAAUCCAUUAUCAACCUCAUUCAGAGACACUAGUGAAUUACCAUACCCACCAACACCAAGCUGUACUUCUUUGGCCUCAAUCUUUUUCACCAAACUCCUUACCAUACCAAGUUCACUCUCCAGCUUCUUCCUGAGCU